CAAAUUCGUUUGGGAGAGGGAGGGGAGAAGAAAGGAAGGAGAAAAGAAGAAGAAGAGAGGGAAGGAAUGCUGGCUUGGGGCAGAUUCUUGGAGCUAAUGCGUACGGCUACUGUCCUAUUGCUGUUGCUGCCCCUACUGUGCUCUACUGCUGUAGCUAAGAGUGUCAUGCAAGUGGUGUAUAUUUCUGCUUCUAUGCUGUUUUUGUACUACCUCAAAUUCUGAAGUUCCUUGGAGAAGCAAGCUGAAUUGGGAGCUGGAAAGUUCAUGUUGCUGCCCCUGUUGCUGCACCUGCUGUACCUACUGCUAUACCUACACAUAUGGAAUCUAAACUAUCGGACGAGGACACAUCAUUGGUCACGGGGAAUCUAUCGUACUUUUUGAUUGGGUAUUGAGAUGGUGGAACCGGUACUGAGACAAGAUUGGACUUUGGUGAUGGUUGUGAGGUUUGUGUCUACGAGACACCGGAUUGCUGAUGGACUUCACUUCUGGUAUUUCAGUUAUUUCUUCUGAUGUAAAUAUUGAUGAAAUAUGUAAGAUGUAAAUAUUAUACAUGUGGCUUUGUAAACAAAUGGGUCUCGUAUAUUUGUUACUUAUCAUGUAGUUGAUCACUAGUAAUAUUUGUUAUUUUAUAUGCGUACUA